ACGCUCGACACCUACGGGAGGCAGCAGUAGGGAAUCUUCCACAAUGGGCGCAAGCCUGAUGGAGCAACACCGCGUGAGUGAAGAAGGGUUUCGGCUCGUAAAGCUCUGUUGUUGGAGAAGAACGUGCGUGAGAGUAACUGUUCACGCAGUGACGGUAUCCAACCAGAAAGUCACGGCUAACUACGUGCCAGUAGCCGCGGUAAUCUGAGCGGGCUGGCAAGGC
rnacentral:rRNA from 1 species